GACAGAGGAUGCAAGCGUUAUCCGGAAUCACUGGGCGUAAAGCGUUUGUAGGCGGAAAUUUAAGUGAGAUGCGAAAUCUUGUGGCUCAACCAUAUAGACGGUAUCUCAUACUGGGUUUCUAGAAGAUAGCAGAGGUAAGUGGAAUUAGUAGUGUAGCGGUAAAAUGCGUAGAUAUUACUAGGAACACCAAUGGCGAAGGCAGCUUACUGGGCUAUAUUUGACGCUGAGAAACGAAAGCGUGGGGAGCGAACAGG
rnacentral:rRNA from 1 species